UACGUAGGGGGCAAGCGUUGUCCGGAAUUAUGGGGCGUAAAGAGCGCGUAGGCGGUCCGAUAAGUCGGCUGUGAAAGUCAGGGGCUCAACCCUUGGAAGCCGGCCGAUACUGUCGGACUAGAGUCCGGAAGAGGCGAGUGGAAUUCCCGGUGUAGCGGUGAAAUGCGCAGAUAUCGGGAGGAACACCAAUGGCGAAGGCAGCUCGCUGGGACGGUACUGACGCUGAGGCGCGAAAGCGUGGGGAGCAAACAGG
rnacentral:rRNA from 1 species